rnacentral:rRNA from 1 species
CCUACGGGCGGCUGCAGUGGGGAAUAUUGGACAAUGGGCGAAAGCCUGAUCCAGCCAUGCCGCGUGUGUGAAGAAGGCCUUCGGGUUGUAAAGCACUUUCAGUGGGGAAGAAAGCCUUGGGGCUAAUACCCUCGAGGAGGGACAUCACCCACAGAAGAAGCACCGGCUAACUCCGUGCCAGCAGCCGCGGUAAUACGGAGGGUGCGAGCGUUAAUCGGAAUUACUGGGCGUAAAGCGCGCGUAGGCGGUCUGAUAAGCCGGUUGUGAAAGCCCCGGGCUCAACCUGGGAACGGCAUCCGGAACUGUCAGGCUAGAGUGCAGGAGAGGAAGGUAGAAUUCCCGGUGUAGCGGUGAAAUGCGUAGAGAUCGGGAGGAAUACCAGUGGCGAAGGCGGCCUUCUGGACUGACACUGACGCUGAGGUGCGAAAGCGUGGGUAGCAAACAGGAUUAGAUACCCGGGUAGUC